rnacentral:other from 1 species
GAUUCCCUGCUGUGUGCGAAGUAGGCUGUAUUUUUUGAGCCAACACCAAUACAAAGGGAGCACAGGCUCCGGCGGCGUAGAAUAUGCCCUUGUAAAUUUGGAGGGACAUUUGAAACCGUUGGGCUGGCACCCACCUGCGAGAGCAGGUUCAAAAAAUACGGUUGGAGACGGCACGGCGGGGGCUUG